GACGAACGCUGGCGGCGUGCCUAAUACAUGCAAGUAGAACGCUGAAGAGAGGAGCUUGCUCUUCUUGGAUGAGUUGCGAACGGGUGAGUAACGCGUAGGUAACCUGCCUUGUAGCGGGGGAUAACUAUUGGAAACGAUAGCUAAUACCGCAUAACAAUGGAUGACACAUGUCAUUUAUUUGAAAGGGGCAAUUGCUCCACUACAAGAUGGACCUGCGUUGUAUUAGCUAGUAGGUGAGGUAACGGCUCACCUAGGCGACGAUACAUAGCCGACCUGAGAGGGUGAUCGGCCACACUGGGACUGAGACACGGCCCAGACUCCUACGGGAGGCAGCAGUAGGGAAUCUUCGGCAAUGGGGGCAACCCUGACCGAGCAACGCCGCGUGAGUGAAGAAGGUUUUCGGAUCGUAAAGCUCUGUUGUAAGUCAAGAACGAGUGUGAGAGUGGAAAGUUCACACUGUGACGGUAGCUUACCAGAAAGGGACGGCUAACUACGUGCCAGCAGCCGCGGUAAUACGUAGGUCCCGAGCGUUGUCCGGAUUUAUUGGGCGUAAAGCGAGCGCAGGCGGUUUGAUAAGUCUGAAGUUAAAGGCUGUGGCUCAACCAUAGUUCGCUUUGGAAACUGUCAAACUUGAGUGCAGAAGGGGAGAGUGGAAUUCCAUGUGUAGCGGUGAAAUGCGUAGAUAUAUGGAGGAACACCGGUGGCGAAAGCGGCUCUCUGGUCUGUAACUGACGCUGAGGCUCGAAAGCGUGGGGAGCGAACAGGAUUAGAUACCCUGGUAGUCCACGCCGUAAACGAUGAGUGCUAGGUGUUGGAUCCUUUCCGGGAUUCAGUGCCGCAGCUAACACAUUAAGCACUCCGCCUGGGGAGUACGACCGCAAGGUUGAAACUCAAAGGAAUUGACGGGGGCCCGCACAAGCGGUGGAGCAUGUGGUUUAAUUCGAAGCAACGCGAAGAACCUUACCAGGUCUUGACAUCCCGAUGCUAUUUCUAGAGAUAGAAAGUUACUUCGGUACAUCGGUGACAGGUGGUGCAUGGUUGUCGUCAGCUCGUGUCGUGAGAUGUUGGGUUAAGUCCCGCAACGAGCGCAACCCCUAUUGUUAGUUGCCAUCAUUCAGUUGGGCACUCUAGCGAGACUGCCGGUAAUAAACCGGAGGAAGGUGGGGAUGACGUCAAAUCAUCAUGCCCCUUAUGACCUGGGCUACACACGUGCUACAAUGGCUGGUACAACGAGUUGCGAGUCGGUGACGGCAAGCUAAUCUCUUAAAGCCAAUCUCAGUUCGGAUUGUAGGCUGCAACUCGCCUACAUGAAGUCGGAAUCGCUAGUAAUCGCGGAUCAGCACGCCGCGGUGAAUACGUUCCCGGGCCU
rnacentral:rRNA from 1 species